GUCUUUUAGAAAAUAAUUUAAAGUCUAACCUGCCCACUGAAUAAUUUUGAAGGGCCGCAGUAUUUUGACUGUGCAAAGGUAGCAUAAUCAUUAGUCUUUUAAUUGAAGGCUUGUAUGAAUGGUUGGAUGAAAUAUUAACUGUCUCAAAUUAAUAAUUUAGAAUUUAAUUUUUAAGUCAAAAAGCUUAAAUAAGAUUAGAGGACGAGAAGACCCUAUAGAUCUUUAUAUUUUUAUUUUUAAUUUUUAUUUAGAAUAAAAAAUAUUUUUAAUAAUAAUAGUAUUUUAUUGGGGUGAUAAUUAAAUUUAGUUAACUUUAUUUAAUAAAAACAUUAAUUUAUGAAUAAUUGAUCCACUAUUAGUGAUUAUAAGAUUAAGUUACCUUAGGGAUAACAGCGUAAUUUUUUUAGAGAGUUCUUAUCGAUAAAAAAGUUUGCGACCUCGAUGUUGAAUUAAAGAUUAAUUUAGGUGCAGUAGUUUAAAUGUUUGGUCUGUUCGACCAUUAAAUC
rnacentral:rRNA from 1 species